GACGAACGCUGGCGGCGUGCUUAACACAUGCAAGUCGAACGAAGUGGCGAACGGGUGAGUAACGCGUAAUCAACCUGCCCUUCAGCGGGGGACAACAGUUGGAAACGACUGCUAAUACCGCAUACUGAAGUAUGGGAUUGCGUCUGAUUAGCUAGUUGGAGGGGUAGCGGCCCACCAGGGCGAUGAUCAGUAGCCGGACUGAUAGGAUGAACGGCCACAUUGGGACUGAGACACGGCCCGGACUCCUACGGGAUGCAGCAGUGGGGAAUCUUCCGCAAUGGACGAAAGUCUGACGGAGCAACGCCGCGUGAGUGAUGACGGCCAUCGGGUUGGAAAGCUCUGUUAAUCGGGACGCGGUACCGGAAUAGAAAGCCACGGCUAACUACGUGCCAGCAGCCGCGGUAAUAC
rnacentral:rRNA from 1 species